AUGACCAGGGCACAUGCAGCUCCUGGCCGUGCAGCAGUCUCCCUACACAGGAAGGGGCCGAGUCCACCUCACAUGGCACCAGCGGGGCCAACUGUGUGCCCAGCCCCACAGAGCUGUCACCCCUGCUCCCAGCACACAAACAGGAUCAGAGAAACAUCAAGGAGGAUCCAAUUCAACUCCGUUGCUUUAUUGCAAUGCAGAGGAGCACACCUGAGCCAAAACAUGGGACUCGAUCCCUGGACCAGCCCUGAGGUCUGGAUGGACAACUGGGAAGGAAGGACGCCCCUCCCCUGUCACCUGGCCCUGGAACCACAACAUUCCUGCCAACGUCCCCGCAGCUGUCAGGAAACUCUUCAGGGAAGAGCAGGUCCUUCCCUCUUCUUGGGUUCAGCAGGGUGAAGGUCUGAACUGCAGCCGGGACAGGGCCGAGCCUGAGGGACACUCCAAACAGGAAGUGGGAGACAGCAGCACCCAGAUGGUGGGGAAGCAAGGGAGAAGAGGAGCCAUCUGAUGCUGCUCUGCCAGCAGGUCUGGAGCUGCUCAUUCCACGUACUGCUGCCGGCCCAGGUAGGGCAUUUCCAUGAACUGGAUCACUGGGCCCUGCAUCAUCUCCUCGAAGACAAUGACCUGGGGGGAGACGGCUGGUCCAUCUUAGAGCCACAUCAGGGCCCUAAGGGAAGGGGCUGGCCAGGACUUCUGUCCCUCCUGCUCACCAACAGCCCCCCCAGGGAAACUCUGUGACCCAGGGAGGGCAGGGACAAGAAGGGGUCUCAGGAAAAGUACUCCUACCUGGUUGAUGCCUUCGUUCAACCAGACCCCUGGGAGGUAGAGGGUCUCCUGGGGCCCAAUAUUCCAGUAGCGUCCAAGGUUAUAGCCGUUGACAAACACAACCCCCUUCUCCCAGCCCUUUAAACAAAGUAGGGGAGGGGUUAGCAGACAAUGCGAACCACCCCACGGGAGGCAGAGACACAGACACAAGCUGUGAGCUCUUCUCUCAGCUCCUAAGGGACCAACACAGACUCUUUCCGACAGCCAUGCAGUUAUCAACCUGGUGGGGAGUUCGAGCGCCUGUGCCCACCAGCGCUGAAAGCAGCCCUCACAGGACCUAGAAGCCAGGACCUGAGAAGCCCCCAGGUGGUCCCUCUGUUCCGAGCCCACUCCUCCCACCCAGGAAGGAAAAGACGGAGACCUUGUGGGCACAGGUGGCGUGGGCACUCCGGGAGCCUGAGCUCCAGGCAGGGGACCAAGGAGAGGAGCCCAGAAAACCUGGGCGGGCGGGGCUACAGACCUCUAACUUCACAAAGGUGUCAUAGGGGAAGCUGGUGACCGACAAAGCCCCCAAGAAGAAGGCAGGCAACGUAGGCACCCCAGGCACAGGGUCCCACUUCUCCGCAGUGAA
rnacentral:lncRNA from 1 species